AAAGAAACUAACAAGGAUUCCCCUAGUAACGGCGAGUGAAGCGGGAACAGCUCAAAUUUUWAAUCUGGCUGCCUCGCAGUCCGAGUUGUAAUUUGAAGGAGUCUGUCGCUUGCGUGACUUCGGCACAAGUCUUCUGGAACGUGGCAUCGUAGAGGGUGAGAAUCCCGUCUCCGGUCGUCGUCGUGCAGGCACAGAGCAGGCUUCCGAAGAGUCGAGUUGUUUGGGAUUGCAGCUCCAAAUGGGUGGUAAACUCCAUCUAAGGCUAAAUAUUGGCGAGAGACCGAUAGCGAACAAGUACCGUGAGGGAAAGAUGAAAAGAACUUUGAAAAGAGAGUAAAACAGUACGUGAAAUUGUUGAAAGGGAAACGCUUGAAGUCAGUCGUGCCGGCGGGGAUUCAGCGAACUUCGCGGAGUGAGCGUACUUCCUCGCAUGGCAGGUCAGCGUCAGUUUCGCGCGGCGUGAAAUGGCUCGGGUAAGGUGGCUCUCUUCGGGGAGUGUUAUAGACCUGGGCAGAUGCGCGGUGCGGGACUGAGGAUUGCAGCGGACACCCUUCGGGGCGCGGCGACCGGCCCCUGCUCUGUCACCCUUGCCCGAUAGCGUGCUAACGGGCUCGGGAGCGGCGGGUGCACCGGGUUGGCAAGCCGGCGGCUUUCGCUAAGGACGCUGACGUAAUGGCUUUAAACGACC
rnacentral:rRNA from 1 species